rnacentral:rRNA from 1 species
GACGAACGCUGGCGGCGUGCCUAAUACAUGCAAGUAGAACGCAGUUGCGAACGGGUGAGUACCGCGUAGGUAACUGCCUCAUAGCGGGGGAUAACUAUUGGAAACGAUAGCUAAUACCGCAUACUGUGAGAUGGACCUGCGUUGUAUUAGCUAGUUGGUGAGGUAAAGGCUCACCAAGGCGCCGAUACAUAGCCGACCUGAGCGGGGUGUUGGCCACACUGGGACUGGGGAACGGCCCAGACUCCUACGGGGGGGAGCAGUAGGGAAUCUUCGGCAAUGGACGGAAGUCUGACCGAGCAACUCCGCGUGAUUGAAGGAGGUUUUCGGGUCGGAAAGCUCUGUUGUUAGAGGAGCGUUAACUAACCAGAAAGGGACGGCUAACUACGUGCCAGCAGCCGCGGUAAUUC